GGGCCUGUUACGGAUUCGAUUGCAAGCGGAGUUUGUCGGACGCACGCCGGAGGCUCGGCUCCGUAAAAACGGAAAUUAAAUUUAAAUGCUGACAAGAAAGAAAGAAGGUCGGCUGUUGCGCGCAGAGCUUCCGCUCGUCGCGUAGCGCUUGCGGCUUAACUUAGUUUAAGCUCCGUCCCACCCCGAUUGCCCACGGUCGGGAAUGGGGCGUCAAUGCAGUGGGGAACCUCCUUUGAAGGAAAACUUCCGCUUUCAGAGAGGAUCUCAGGGAAGUAUGCCCAAGGCGCAGGCUGUCUGUGAACUGCCCGCGGGCGAGAUCUGAUCACAGACUAAGCGUGUAGUGUCCGCAGAUGAACCUUGUAAGACCGCAGUUCAACUCUGCGCAGGUCCACCA
rnacentral:tmRNA from 1 species